rnacentral:misc_RNA from 1 species
GAUGAAGAACGUAGCGAAAUGCGAUAAGUAAUGCGAAUUGCAGAAUUUCCGUGAGUCAUCGAAUCUUUGAACGCACAUUGCGCCUCUCGGUAUUCCGGGAGGCACGCCUGUUCGAGCGCCAUUACACACCCCAAGCUCGGCUUGAUGUUGGACGCUGUCUGUGAAAGGACAGGUCUGGAACGCGUGGGCGCCGCCGCCGGACCACGAGCGUAGCAAGACGCAAGUCAAUCGCUCUGUGGGCUCGGUCGGUGGACGGCCGUCUAGACGUGGGGUUAACACCUGGCGUCGCAAACACCUAACCAAAGUUUGGCCUCGGAUCAGGCGGGGAUACCCGCUGAACUUAAGCAUAUCAAUAAGCGGAGGA